AAAAGCGGUCUUGUUAGGUGAUCAGUGUGGCUUGGGGCGGUCCCCUCAGGAGUAACCGCGGGCCUGUGCCACGGUCACGCCACUGGCCUUCGUUUCCUUUAGCCUUCUCGCUCACCAAAAGAUUUUCCCGUCCAGUUAUAAAGUGCAAGUUGUUUUCCAAAGGGGUUACUCUUUGGAUCAACACCUAUAGGAAAUGAGCUGCACUGCAUCCCAGCGAAGACCUCAGCCAACCCCACAACUGAGAUGGAGCAGUAGCAACCAGACGUACCUUUCCCAGCUGAAACAACUAAAAAGAUAAGAAAAAAAAGAUGAAAGAAUGGUUCUUGAGACACCGGACACCACACAGUGAAGAACAGCGAUCCUUGGGAGAGGAGAAACAAGAUCUUGGAAUGCUCCAGUCUUUUUGCAAAGUCGAUGAGUGGCUUCUGCACUGGGGAAAGAAGCCCAAAAGGUGACCAGAUGGAACCUG